rnacentral:rRNA from 1 species
GAUGAACGCUGGCGGCGUGCUUAACACAUGCAAGUCGAACGGGAAACCUUUUAUUGAAGCUUCGGCAGAUUUAGCUGGUUUCUAGUGGCGGACGGGUGAGUAACGCGUGGGUAACCUGCCCUCUACAGGGGGAUAACAACCAGAAAUGGUUGCUAAUACCGCAUAAGCGCACAGGGCCGCAUGGUCCGGUGUGAAAAACUCCGGUGGUAUAGGAUGGACCCGCGUUGGAUUAGCCAGUUGGCAGGGUAACGGCCUACCAAAGCGACGAUCCAUAGCCGGCGUGAGAGGGUGAACGGCGAGAUUGAGACUGAGACAAGGCCCAGACGCCUACGAGAGGCAGCAGUGGGGAAUAUUGCACAAUGGGGGAAACCCUGAUGCAGCGACGCCGCGUGAAGGAAGAAGUAUCUCGGUAUGUAAACUUCUAUCAGCAGGGAAGAUAGUGACGGUACCUGACUAAGAAGCCCCGGCUAACUACGU